AUGCAUCUCCAACUUGGCGAGAUCUUCUUAAUUGUUGUUUCAUCACCAAAAGUUGCUAGGGAGGUCCUUAAAACACAUGAAAUUGCAUUUGCAUCAAGGCCUCAUCUUGUAGUCGCAGAAAUAGCCGCUUAUAGUUCAACAAAUAUAGCCUUUUCACCUUAUGGUGAUUACUGGAAAAAACUUAGAAAGAUUUAUGUUGUUGAGCUUUUGAGCACAAGAAGGGUCAAAUAUCUUUGGCCAGUAAGAGAGAAAGAGAUCAACUCUCUCGAAAAACAUUUCUUCAAAUGA